ensembl:scaRNA predicted gene, 23751
GUGUCCUGUGCCUUUUUCUGCUCCCCUGUGCUCAGUCUUACAGGGUGGUCUGGCAGGACACACAUCAAUUCCCUCUCCGUUUAGGAGGGCUGUCCUAAGAAUAGGGCUGGCUCUUAAAGGCACGAGAGGACAAU